UUCUUCCUCUUCCACCUUCAGCCUCUCUCUCUCUCACGAUAAGUGAUUCUAAAACGAAAAAAUCUCUGUCUCUCAUCAUAAUCACCUUUCUUCUUCAUCUUUGUCAUCUACGUCAUCUACAGCUCUUCUCUCUGUCAAACAUGGUGUAGAGAUCGACCUUUUAAAACCCUAAUCUCGAGUUUUAGACGGGAUUUCGGUUAUGCUGAGAGGUAAAGCCGAGGAAGGCGACAUAGAAGAAGAAACUAAGAGGUGGAUUCAUCGGCAAAGUCGGAGAACCAAAGAAUCUUAUCGACAGAUGCGUCGGAGCACCCGCAACGAUGAAGCUCUUCUUGGUGGUACGGGUAAGGGUUUAGAGACAUCACCUCGACAAAUAAAGAAACGUCUUCACAAACAAGAACUUCUUUAAGACCAAGAUAACAAGGAGCCAAUUGAAUGAAGAACCGCCAUUAGACUGACAAGUUGUUUGCAGGUCGUCAGCACUUACAAGAGGAAUUUGAGAACGUCUUCAACAGAGAAUAUCAUCAAGGUAGUAGGACAACUAGCACCAACUACAAGUGAACGUGGAUCAAGCAGCAGUAUGGUGUUAGUUUCACUACCACACUUUGAUUGUUUUAAAAAUUGUUUUUGCAUCGUGUUCCCCUUCUGCCUCAUCCACACACCGUUCUACCUCUCUCUUGCCGGGAUUGGAAGCAAGUUACGGAGUCUGCCGCCGUUUCAUUUAAUGAGCCACGAUGACAACACAACUUAAAGGAGACCAAGCUGUGGGGCGUAAGAUUCGAAGAGAGUGUCACUGAGAAGGUGGAGAUUGAAGCUCAUUUGUUGUUCAGUUUGCUAUAUCAUUUUAUGUAAAUUUAGAUUAAUAAUGCUUCUUUCACUUUGGAGAUGAACUCAUUCUGAUUUUUGCUUUGUCUUUGCUCAUGUUAUGUGAAUUGUGUUAGUUUGUGUGAUGAUGUUUCUUGAGCUGAAGUUUCAUGGUUGUUGUUGAGAGACUACAAAUAUACAAUACCUGCAGGACCUUGAAAAUUUCA